ensembl:lncRNA
AUGUCUUCCCAUCGUCUGUCUGACUGUCUCCCAUCUGUCUGUCUGACUGUCUUUCCGUCUGUCUGUCUGUCUUUCCAUCUGUCUCUGUCUUCCCAUCUGUCUUUCCAUCGGUCUGUCUUCCAUCUGUCCUUUCAUGUUGCUGUCUGUUUCCAUCUUUCUCUGUCUGUCUGUCUGUCUUCCCAUCUGUCUUUCCAUCUGUCUGUCUGUCUUCCCAUCUGUCUUUCUCGUCUGUUCUGUCUUUCCAUCUGUCUGUCUGUCUUCCCCAUCUGUCUGUCUUCCCCGUCUGUCUCUGUCGGUCUUCCCCAUCUGUGUCUGUCUGUCGGUCUUUCCCAUCUGUCUUCCCCGUCUGUCUGUCUGUCUUCCCCGUCUGUCUGUCUGUUGUCUGUCUUCCCCAUCUGUUUGCCUGUCUGUCGUCUUCCCCGUCUGUCUGGUCUUCCCCUCUGUCUGUCUUCCCGUCUGCGUCUGUCUGUCUUCCCCAUCUGUCUGUCCUGUCUUUCCCGUCUGUCUGUCUUCCCCGUCUGUCUGUCUGUCUCCCCGUCUGUCUGUCUGUCUCCCCCGUCUGUGUCUUCCCCCGUCUGCGUCUUGUUCGUCUUUGUCUUCCCCGUCUGUCUGUUCCCCCGUCUGUCUGUCUUCUUCUGUCUGUCUCCCGUGUCUCUGUCUCCCCGUCUGUCUGUGUCUUCUCCCGUUCUGUUCCUGUCUGUCCUGUCUGUCUUCCCGUUUCUGUUGUCUGUCUGUCUUCACCUUCUGUCUGUCUUCCCGUCUGUCUGUUUCCCGUGUCUUUUUCCCUGUCUGUCUGUUGUCCUUCCCCGUCUGUCUGUCUUUCCCCGUCUGUCUGUCUGUCUGUCUGUCUCUCCCGUCUGUCUUGUCUGUCUUGUCUGUCUGUCUGUCUCUGUCUUGUCUUGUCGUGUCUGUCCUUCCCCAUCUGUCUCCGUCUGUCUGUCUUCCCCGUCUGUCUCCCGUCUGUCUGUUUUCCCCAUCUGUUCUGUUUGCUGUCUUCCCCAUCUGUCUGUUUGUCUGUUUCGUCUGUCUGUGUCUGUCUGUCUAUCUGUCUGUCUUUCCCGUCUGUCUGUCUGUCUUCCCCGUCGUCUGUCUGCUUCCCCGUCUGUCUGUCUGUCUGUCUUCCCCGUCUGUCUGUCUCCCAUCUGUCUGCUGUCUCCCCGUCUGUCUGUCUGUCUGUCUGUUGUCUUCCCCGUCUGUCUGUCUGUCUGUCUUUCCCCGUCUGUCUGUCUGUCUGUCUUCCCGUCUGUCUGUCGUCUUUGUCUUUCCCGUUGUCUGUCUGUCUGUCUUCCCGUUGUCUGUUGUCUCCCCGUCUGUCUGUUCCCUCUGUCUGUCUUGUCUGUCUGUCUUCCCCAUCUGUCUGUCUUGUCUGUCUGUCUGUCUUCCCCAUCGUCUGUCUCGUCUUGUCUGUCUGUCUGUCUUCCCAUCUGUCUCCGUCUGUUGUUCCCCGUCUGUCUGUCUUCCCCAUCUGUCUGUCUUCCCCGUUGUCUGUCUGUCUUCCCCGUCUGUUCUGUCUGUCUUCCCCAUCUGUGUCUGUCUGUCGGUUUUCCAUCUGUCUUCCCCGUCUGUCUGUCUGUUUCCCAUCUGUCUGUCUGCCUGUCUGUCUCUGUGUGUCUUCCCAUCUGUCUUCUGUCUUACCGUUGUGUCUGUUCUCUGUCUUCCCGUCUGUCUGUCUUCCCCGUCUGUCUGUCUGUCUUCCCGUCUUGUUCUGCGUCUUCCCCGUCUGUCUUCUGUUUCCCGUCUGUCUGUCUGUCUCCCCGUCCUGUUUGUCUUGUCUUCCCCGUCUGUCUGUCUGUCUGUCUGUCUUCCCGUCUGUCUCCGUCUGUCUGUCUUCCCCAUCUGUCGUUUGCCUGUUCUUCCCCAUCUGUCUGUUUGUCUGUCUUGUCUGUCUGUUCGUGUCUGUCUGUCUGUCUCUUCCUUCUUCUGUCUGUCUUCUGUCUAUCUGCUGUCUUCCCCGUCUGUCUGUCUGUCUGUCUUGUGUGUCUUGUGUGUCUGUCUGUCUGUUGUCUUCCCCCUCUGUCUCCGUCUGUCUGUCUUCCCCGUCUGUCUGUCUUCUGUUCUUCCCCUGUCUGUCUGUCUGUCUGUCUUCCCCGUCUUUCUCCGUCUGUCUGUCUGUCUGUCUGUCUGUCUGUCUUCCCGUCUGACUCCGUCUGUCUGUCUUCCCCAUCUGUCUGUUUGUCUGUCUGUCUGUCUUGUCUGUCUGUUCUGUCUUCCCCAUCUGUCUCCGUCGUCUGUCUUCCCCAUCUGUCUCCGUCUGUCUGUCUUCCCCAUGUCUGUUGUUUGUUGUCUGUCUUCCCCUGUCUGUCUCUCUCCCUAUUCUGUCCUUCCCUU